AUAAUAUCUAAGACAAAGCGACGCUUGUGGAAAAGAAGCAUUGCCAUGAAAUCCAUCUUUGUUGUUGUCCUUGUGACGGCCGCAAUGGUCUGUGCCUGCGAAGGAUAUUCUUGCAGAACAAAAUGCGGGUCGCCGCCAGCCUGUACCAGAAACUGCCAAGCCACAGCAUGGUAUUAUGAUCAUGAGAUCUGCGGAUGCGGAACGAUAAAAACCAGCAAGUACGAUAUAAAACCAGAGAAUAAGCUCUUCUUCACGAAAAGUCAAUGUCAGAAAGUUUGUGGAGUUUAGAAUCAAGUUGGAAGCAUCCCAUCGCUUGUUACAGUGUUGUGUACUGAAUUUUGUUCUAUAUGUGCAAAAUAAACGAAAAAUCGUGACUCGAAUC